rnacentral:snRNA from 1 species
AGUUUUGUGCAGUGGCAGUAUCGUAGCCAAUGAGGUUUAUCUGAGGUGCGAUUAUUGCUAAUUGAAAAGCAAAAGAAAUCUGACUAUUAAACUUACUAAGAUAUUAUCAUCUACAUCCCUGUG